UACGGGGGGGGCAAGCGUUGUUCGGAAUUACUGGGCGUAAAGGGCUCGUAGGCGGCCAACUAAGUCGGAUGUGAAAUCCCCAAGCUUAACUUGGGAACUGCAUCCGAUACUGGAUGGCUUGAAUCCGGGAGAGGGAUGCAGAAUUCCAGGUGUAGCGGUGAAAUGCGUAGAUAUCUGGAGGAAUACCGGUGGCGAAGGCGGCAUCCUGGACCAUAACUGACACUGAUAAGCGAAAGCCAGGGGAGCAAACGGG
rnacentral:rRNA from 1 species